rnacentral:rRNA from 1 species
GACGAACGCUGGCGGCGUGCUUAACACAUGCAAGUCGAACGGAAAGGCCUGCUUUCCCUUGUGGAUUGCGGGUACUCGAGUGGCGAACGGGUGGGUAACACGUGAGUGAUCUGCCCCCAACUUGGGUAUAAGCCUGGGAAACUGGGUCUAAUUCCCGAUAGGACUGCAGGGUGGUGCCUGUGGUGGAAAACGAUUUUCUAGUGGUUGGGGAUGAGCUCGCGGCCUAUCAGCUUGUUGGUGGGGUAAUGGCCUACCAAGGCGGCGACGGGUAGCCGGCCUGAGAGGGUCGACGGCCACAUUGGGACUGAGAUACGGCCCAGACUACGACGGGAGGCAGCAGUGGGGAAUAUUGCACAAUGGGCGGAAGCCUGAUGCAGCGACGCCGCGUGGGGGAUGACGGCCUGCGGGUUGGAAACUCCUUUCGACCGCGAGGAAGCCACCUGGUUGGAAGGGUGGUGACGGUAGUGGUAGAAGAAGCACCGGCUAACUACGU